GAACGAAGCUUUCUUUCACCGAAUGCUUGCAUUCACCGAAAGAAAACUUAGUGGCGAACGGGUGAGUAACACGUAGGCAACCUGCCCAAAAGAGGGAGAUAACACUUGGAAACAGGUGCUAAUACCGCAUAACCAUGAACACCGCAUGAUGUUCAUGUAAAAGACGGCUUUUGCUGUCACUUUUGGAUGGGCUGCGGCGUAUUAACUUGUUGGUGGGGUAACGGCCUACCAAGGUGAUGAUACGUAGCCGAACUGAGAGGUUGAUCGGCCACAUUGGGACUGAGACACGGCCCAAACUCCUACGGGAGGCAGCAGUAGGGAAUCUUCCACAAUGGACGAAAGUCUGAUGGAGCAACGCCGCGUGAAUGAAGAAGGCCUUCGGGUCGUAAAAUUCUGUUGUCAGAGAAGAACGUGCGUGAGAGUAACUGUUCACGUAUUGACGGUAUCUGACCAGAAAGCCACGGCUAACUACGUGCCAGCAGCCGCGGUAAUACGUAGGUGGCGAGCGUUGUCCGGAUUUAUUGGGCGUAAAGGGAACGCAGGCGGUCUUUUAAGUCUGAUGUGAAAGCCUUCGGCUUAACCGAAGUAGUGCAUUGGAAACUGGAAGACUUGAGUGCAGAAGAGGAGAGUGGAACUCCAUGUGUAGCGGUGAAAUGCGUAAAUAUAUGGAAGAACACCAGUGGCGAAAGCGGCUCUCUGGUCUGUAACUGACGCUGAGGUUCGAAAGCGUGGGUAGCAAACAGGAUUAGAUACCCUGGUAGUCCACGCCGUAAACGAUGAGUGCUAAGUGUUGGAGGGUUUCCGCCCUUCAGUGCUGCAGCUAACGCAUUAAGCACUCCGCCUGGGGAGUACGGUCGCA
rnacentral:rRNA from 1 species